UACGGAGGGUGCAAGCGUUUAUCCGGAUUUACUGGGUUUAAAGGGUGCGUAGGUGGGUCUGUAAGUCAGUGGUGAAAUCUCCGAGCUUAACUCGGAAACUGCCAUUGAUACUAUAGGUCUUGAAUUAUCUGGAGGUGAGCGGAAUAUGUCAUGUAGCGGUGAAAUGCUUAGAUAUGACAUAGAACACCAAUUGCGAAGGCAGCUAACUACGCGAUCAUUGACGCUGAUGCACGAAAGCGUGGGGAUCAAACAGG
rnacentral:rRNA from 1 species